CCUACGGGUGGCUGCAGUGGGGAAUAUUGCACAAUGGGGGAAACCCUGAUGCAGCGACGCCGCGUGAGUGAAGAAGUAUUUCGGUAUGUAAAGCUCUAUCAGCAGGGAAGAAAAUGACGGUACCUGAUUAAGAAGCCCCGGCUAACUACGUGCCAGCAGCCGCGGGAAUACGGAGGGGGCAAGCGUUAUCCGGAUUUACUGGGUGUAAAGGGAGCGUAGACGGCAGCACAAGUCUGGGGGGAAAUGCCGGGGGUUAAACCCGGGACUGCUUUGGAAACUGGGCAGCUAGAGUGCAGGAGAGGUAAGUGGAAUUCCUGGUGUAGCGGUGAAAUGCGUAGAUAUUAGGAGGAACACCAGAGGCGAAGGCGGCUUACUGGGCUGUAACUGACGCUGAGGGUCGAAAGCGUGGGGAGCAAACAGGAUUAGAUACCCCGGUAGUC
rnacentral:rRNA from 1 species